UUAAAGAGUUCUAUAACUCCCAAACCCAUGUGAACAUACCUAACGUUGCCUCGGCAGGUCGCACCUACCUUGUAGCACCCUACCCUGUAGGGCCUACCCGGGAGGUGCGGGUAAGCCUGCCGGCGGCCCACCAAACUCUGUUUGAUAUUGAAUUCUGAACCUAUAACUAAAUAAGUUAAAACUUUCAACAACGGAUCUCUUGGUUCUGGCAUCGAUGAAGAACGCAGCGAAAUGCGAUAAGUAAUGUGAAUUGCAGAAUUCAGUGAAUCAUCGAAUCUUUGAACGCAUAUUGCGCCCAUUAGUAUUCUAGUGGGCAGGACCGUUCGAGCGUCAUUUCAACCCUUAAGCCUUCGUUGCUUAGUGUUGGGAGCCUACGGCAACGUAGCUCCUCAAAGUUAGUGGCGGAGUUGGUUCACACUCUAGACGUAGUAAUUUUUUAUCUCGCCUAUUAGUUGGACUAAUCCCCUGCCGUAAAACCCCCAAUUUAUCAAGGUUGACCUCGAAUCGGUUCAGACAAACUCGCUAAAUUGAAGCAUCUUAGUCAGCGAAGGAAAAGAAACCAACAGGGAUUGCCCUAGUAACGGCGAGUGAAGCGGCAACAGCUC
rnacentral:rRNA from 1 species